rnacentral:rRNA from 1 species
GACGUAGGGCGCGAGCGUUGUUCGGAAUUACUGGGCGUAAAGCGCGCGCAGGCGGUCUUCCAAGUCAGUGGUGAAAGCCUGGAGCUCAACUCCAGAACUGCCAUUGAAACUGUUAGACUUGAGUACGAGAGAGGUGAGUGGAAUUCCCAGUGUAGAGGUGAAAUUCGUAGAUAUUGGGAAGAACACCAGUGGCGAAGGCGGCUCACUGGCUCGUAACUGACGCUCAGGCGCGACAGCGUGGGGAUCAAACAGG